AUUGAACGCUGGCGGCAGGCCUAACACAUGCAAGUCGAGCGAGUGGCGGACGGGUGAGUAAUGUAUGGGAAACUGCCUGAUGGAGGGGGAUAACUACUGGAAACGGUGGCUAAUACCGCAUACCAUCGGAUGUGCCCAGAUGGGAUUAGCUAGUAGGUGGGGUAAAGGCUCACCUAGGCGACGAUCCCUAGCUGGUCUGAGAGGAUGACCAGCCACACUGGAACUGAGACACGGCCCAGACUCCUACGGGAGGCAGCAGUGGGGAAUAUUGCACAAUGGGCGCAAGCCUGAUGCAGCCAUGCCGCGUGUAUGAAGAAGGCCUUCGGGUUGUAAAGUACUUUCAGCGGGGAGGCGUUACCCGCAGAAGAAGCACCGGCUAACUCCGUGCCAGCAGCCGCGGUAAUAC
rnacentral:rRNA from 1 species